rnacentral:rRNA from 1 species
GGGCUACACACGUGCUACAAUGGACGGUACAACGAGUCGCGAACUCGCGAGGGCAAGCAAAUCUCUUAAAACCGUUCUCAGUUCGGACUGCAGGCUGCAACUCGCCUGCACGAAGUCGGAAUCGCUAGUAAUCGCGGAUCAGCAUGCCGCGGUGAAUAC